GACGAACGCUGGCGGCGCGCUUAACACAUGCAAGUCGAGCGAGAACCAAGCCUUCGGGCUUGGGGACAGCGGCGAACGGGUGAGUAACACGUGGGUAAUCAACCCUCGACACUGGGAUAGCCCGGGGAAACCCGGAUUAAUACCGGGUACCCCAUCUGGCCUUCGGGCCGGCUGGAACAGGUAGCUUCGGCCUCCGGUCGGGGCCGAGCCCGCGGCGGAUUAGCUUGUUGGUGGGGUAAAGGCCCACCAAGGCGACGAUCCGUAGCUGGUCUGAGAGGACGAUCAGCCACACUGGGACUGAGACACGGCCCAGACUCCUACGGGAGGCAGCAGUGGGGAAUCUUGCGCAAUGGGCGAAAGCCUGACGCAGCGACGCCGCGUGAGGGAAGAAGGCCUUCGGGUUGUAGACCUCUUUCAGGAGGGACGAAGCCACUCGGGUUAAUAGCCCAGAGGGUGACGGUACCUCCAGAAGAAGCCCCGGCUAACUACGUGCCAGCCGCCGCAGUAAGAC
rnacentral:rRNA from 1 species